AAUUUUUAACUUGUUUGCUUGAAUUGCAAACACUAUGAGGAAUUGUGUAAGAGAUUUUUUUCCCACCUAUUCUGUCAGUGAAUGAUUCAUUAAUGCUAACAUUUAGGAGGCAGCAGCAUGCAUUGAAUAAACCACAUAUAUGAAUGAUCUAAACAAUGGGGUAAAAUGUGGCCCCAGUUAAGUUUGCAGAUGACAUGAAACUAGGAGGAGAAGCUGACUCAUUUGAAGGCUGUGCAGCCUUCCAGAGGACUUUGACAUACAGGUGAAACUGGCUGUCAAGAAUCUCAUGAAGUUCAUCAAGAACAAAAUCCUGCACACAGGAAGGAGCAAACCCAUGCACUGUGAUGUCAUAGAAUCACAGAAUUGCAGAAUUGCAGAAGGGACUUCAAGAGAUCAUCAAGUUCAACCUCCCUGAAGAAGGAAUAAAUUUGGGACAUUCAGAUUCUAGUACCUUUCUGGCUACCGGAGGCAGAUGGAGAAAAGCAGCUUCCCUACUAUGUGAUCCAGAAAUUUAAACUGUAAGAAGCAGAGGAAGUUUGUAUAGCGUCAUGAAUCCAGAAACAGCACGCUGGUGAUUAUGGCUGGAGCAGGAGAUGCAGUUUCCUUGCAGUGAUUUGUUCAACCCUUCUGGAAACACAAAACUGGGAAGAAGUGCCAUGCUGCCAUCCAGUAUGAUGGGAACAGACUGGAGAAACGGGCUCAUAGGAACCUCAUGAUGUUCAGAAAGAAACGCAUAGUCCUGCACCCAGAGAAGAAAAUCCUCAGGUACCAGAAAAUGCUGGAGACACUCAGUUGGAAAGAACCUUGGCUGAAAAGAAUCUAGAGAUUCCUGGUGGACAUAACCCAGUCAAACAUCCUUGCCAUUAAAACAGGGUACGUAAAGAGAAUCUAUCAUUCUUAUGACUACAUGGCACUGAGAGAAUGAACAGAUGAUAGUCCAGACUACAUCACAUGAACACAGCCAUGAAAUCCUCAGCGGAAGUGUUCCAGAUUUUAACUGGUAAAAUAAAAAGCAGAAUUUGGUCUCACCCAAGAUGUGAGUCCAACCCAUCCAGAAAAUAACUUCGGGUUGUGGUAAAUAAUGCCAACAAGGAUAAUCAUUUAAUUAAUGCACUGGGCAAGAUCACUGCCACUCAACAUAAAUGUCCAGUCUAUGCAAGAAAGAUCCACAGUCUAAUAAUGGAGACUGCUGACAGACUACAAAGGUAAAUAUUGGGCUAAAACAUGGACAACAGUCAAAGUAGAAAAUGGAUGGUAAAUUUUGGCUGUGGGAAAGAAUGGGCACAAUGUGUUGUGACUGAACUCUUCAAGGAAGUGUUUGUAUAUGCAACAAAUCCAUUCAUCCAGGAUACAAAAUACAAUAGAGAAUUCUCGUGCUUAAUAUGAUAAAUAUAAUUUUAUUUUGGAUAAAAAUGAAACAGAAUCUUCUGCUUCCUUAGUGUCCUAACUGAUAUUACAGAACAAUUUAAGAAGACAAAACUUCAUUUGACAGUGUACAGGUUCUUUAGAUUAAAACCAUUCCCCUUGUCCUAUCGCUAUCUGUGUAAAAAGUCAGUCUCC